rnacentral:rRNA from 1 species
UACAGAGGGUGCAAACGUUGUUCGGAAUUACUGGGCGUAAAGCGUGUGUAGGCGGCUUCGUAGGUCGGAUGUGAAAGCUCUCGGCUCAACCGGGAAAGUGCAUUCGAAACCACGAGGCUUGAGUGUCGGAGAGGAGGGCGGAAUUGUCGGUGUAGAGGUGAAAUUCGUAGAUAUCGACAGGAACCACCUGUGGCGAAAGCCGGCCCUCUGGACGAACACUGACGCUGAGACACGAAAGGCGUGGGGAGCAAACAGG